AAACACUUGAACGUCCACAGCGUGCGACGCCGGCAUUACGUCAUGACGUUGUUGCUGGCGGUAUUUUUGUUUGGCAUAUACAGUGUUUAGUGCCAAAUUUCGGGUGUAGCAUAGCAUUCACUUAAAAGAAAAGCCAUUGAUGACUCCAGCACCAUCAAAGCAGACAGAAAUGGAGCGGGAAGCCCAGUCCUCUCAGUCUUCAGAGGCUGCUGCAAAAGCAGUGUUGUUAGAGGAGUGCGAGGAGCAGUUUGGACUGCUUCAGAAGCUUCAAAAUGAGAUAAUUCUGGCAGAUACAGAGGCUAAUGAUGAUCAAUCAAAUGAGGUUUGUCCUUCUCCUUUCACUACUUUUGAGUUAAAAAAUUAGCUGUGCAUAUUAACGUUGCUUUUCAGUUCAGACAUAAAUAUUCACAAAUUACUUUAAUCAUCUUUUUUAUUUUUUUGGUGGGCAGGCAGUGAAUCGCCUGAUUGCAAUCACAUCUGAGCUAGAGCAAUGGCAAGAAAUGGAACCAAAAUGUAAGCUAUUAUCUGUUGUUUUAUGUACUAUUUCAAUUUAGA
rnacentral:lncRNA from 1 species